UACGAAGGGGGCUAGCGUUGCUCGGAUUGACUGGGCGUAAAGGGCGCGUAGGCGGUUCGUACAGUCAGACGUGAAAUUCCUGGGCUCAACCUGGGGGCUGCGUUUGAUACGUGCGGACUUGAGUGCGGAAGAGGGUCGUGGAAUUCCCAGUGUAGAGGUGAAAUUCGUAGAUAUUGGGAAGAACACCGGUGGCGAAGGCGGCGACCUGGUCCGAUACUGACGCUGAGGCGCGAAAGCGUGGGGAGCGAACGGG
rnacentral:rRNA from 1 species